rnacentral:rRNA from 1 species
AUUGAACGCUGGCGGCAGGCUUAACACAUGCAAGUCGAGCGAGAGGCGGACGGGUGAGUAAUGUCUGGGAAACUGCCUAAUGGAGGGGGAUAACUACUGGAAACGGUAGCUAAUACCGCAUACCAUCAGAUGGGCCCAGAUGGGAUUAGCUAGUCGGUGGGGUAAUGGCUCACCAAGGCGACGAUCCCUAGCGGGUCUGAGAGGAUGACCGGCCACACUGGAACUGAGACACGGUCCAGACUCCUACGGGAGGCAGCAGUGGGGAAUAUUGCACAAUGGGGGAAAGCCUGAUCCAGCCAUGCCGCGUGUGUGAAGAAGGCCUUCGGGUUGUAAAGCACUUUCAGCGAGGAGGCGUUACUCGCAGAAGAAGCACCGGCUAACUCCGUGCCAGCAGCCGCGGUAAUAC